GCUAUCCUGUGAACCUCUCGGUCGCAGUGGACUACCGCCGACACUCCAUCUUCCCCGUCGACGGUGAGCCCACCUCCCUAUGUCCUCCCCUAACCUCUCCGACCCCGCAUAUGUGCGCCGCCGAGCAUACCUGGAAUUAGCUGAUGCGCCCUUCUUCUCCACCACACAUGUAUGUGGGGAUCCCCCUUGAUCCUGGCGGCAUGGCCAGAGACGAAGGCAACCCUCAGCCUCGCACGCGUCGCUGCCCGGCUUGGGGGCCAGAUCGUCGGCUGCGGGGCUUAGAUCGACGGGAUGCGGGACCAGAUCAUCGGCUGAGGUCCGCGCCGCCUAGCCGUGCGGCGUGGGCCGAUCUGAGCUUCUUUGCUUUGGAUUGGAGAUUGGGAUUUAGGACUUGUGAAUCUGCCCGUUGUGCUGCGGCUGGUUGGCGUUCUGGGCUGGGAAGUAUGGAAUCAGAGAUAGAGGGUUGCUACCUCUCCAUGCUGGAAUUUGCUAUCAAGAAGUUGCCAAGGUGUGAGGCAUCAAACUGUCGUUGAGGUCUAAACACUCUUGGCUCCAACAAGGCUAACAGCUAGAUCGGUAGCGGUGUCCAGGGCACCAGUAGCUACCUAGCUCAGAGCUAUUAGUUGACAGGCGGCUUCAUCUGCUCGCAAGUUGUGGUCCUUGAGUUGUUGACUGACCAUGUAUCAGAGGACACGCAACAACACACUUCCUGAUCUUGUUGAUGAACACCGGAAUAGGAGUAACACAUAAUGUCAGCUUGCAGAUUUUGCACUAGGAGUGGCAUCAAUACAUAUUUGUAGAGGCUAAGUUGGUCUCCUUCCAGCCCUUAUAUCGAGUGUGCCAGCUCGGGGACUCACACCAAGAUAAGUCUGCGAGGAAACAUAGGGAUGAUCUCUGGAAUCCAUUGCCUCUUAACUGUCUCCCACUGACACAGCCGCUGCCGAGGUUUGCCGCCUACACUGUCCUUCCCUCUCCAACCAGGUAGCCACCAUCGCGUAGGUUGAUUGGCCGUCAGUGUGCCGCUCAGGAGGUGAGUAUUAUGUCUUCAAGAUGAGUCCGUAGAACAGUAUCUUCUUCUAAUAUGUGGUAUGAUCUUCCGAGAUGCUUUGAGCACAACGUUUAUAUAUUUUGAAAAAAAAAAUUGUUUGAUUAUUUUGAUAUGUAGUUUCCUAAUUUCUAAUCAAUAGAAAUUCUAAUGAUGAUAAAAUUAUCAUAUUAAGUUUUAGAAAAGCAAGAAGCCAUUCAAUCUACAGUCAUUAAUUAUUCAUAGUAAAGAUGAAAGGAAAUAUUGUUAUAUAUUUUUAAAAUGUUAUUUCUUUGCUCGUUUUGAUAUGCUAUUUCCUAAUUUCUGAAUAAUGGUGAUUCUAAUGUU